rnacentral:rRNA from 1 species
CCCGCUGAACUUAAGCAUAUCAAUAAGCGGAGGAAAAGAAACUAACAAGGAUUCCCCUAGUAACUGCGAGUGAAGCGGGAAAAGCUCAAAUUUAAAAUCUGGUGGUCUUUGGCCACCCGAGUUGUAGUCUGGAGAAGCGUUUUCCGCGCUGGACCGUGCACAAGUCUCCUGGAACGGAGCGUCAUAGAGGGUGAGAAUCCCGUCUUUGGCACGGAUGACCAGUGCUUUGUGAUGCGCUCUCGAAGAGUCGAGUUGUUUGGGAAUGCAGCUCAAAAUGGGUGGUGAAUUCCAUCUAAAGCUAAAUAUUGGCGAGAGACCGAUAGCGAACAAGUACCGUGAGGGAAAGAUGAAAAGCACUUUGGAAAGAGAGUUAAACAGUACGUGAAAUUGUUGAAAGGGAAACGCUUGAAGUCAGUCGCGUUCUCUGAGACUCAGCCUUGCUUUUGCUUGGUGUACUUCUCAGUGGAACGGGCCAGCAUCACUUUUGACCGUUGGAUAAAGGCGAGAGAAAGGUGGCACCCUCGGGUGUGUUAUAGUCUCUUGUCGCAUACAACGGUUGGGAGUGAGGAACUCAGCACGCCGCAAGGUCGGGGUUCGCCCACGUUCGUGCUUAGGAUGCUGGCGUAAUGGCUUUAAACGACCCGUCUUGAAACACGG